rnacentral:lncRNA from 1 species
UUUUUAUCUACACUUAGCAUAUCUAUCACACUUAAUGAGAAAAUAUCACGUAUAUAUAAAUAUUUUAAAUUUUUAAUAUCAGAUAAUACUUUUAUUUUCUUACUUAAAAUUAAUAAAUAUAUAUUAAUUAUUUAUCAAUUUAAUAUAUAAAUAUAUAUAUUAAAUCUAUGCAGAAAAGUUUUAUUUUCUUAAUUAUCUUUUUAUCAUAAUUACUACUGUUUUAUUCUUGCAUAAUCUAUCAUUUUGUUCUUGCAUAAUAGAUUUUAGACCGACGAAAGAUCUAAAUAAUUAUUUACAAAUCAAUUAGAAAUUUAAAACAUAAAUACCAUAAAUUAACUGAAUUACAAACAACAUAAAAUUAGUUCACCAAUCGAUUUAUAAUAUAAACUUAUUUUUCAAAUCAAACGUUGGUCAAUAUGAUAUACAAGAUCAAUAGUAAAAUCAGUUGAGUAUAAUGAUCUUACCUGAUUUUUCUUCUUCAACUGAUAUUAAAUGUAUGCUUUACUCAACACCGGAACAUGAACCGGUUUAUUCAAAUCAUUCAACAUAACCCAAUAGCAUAUAAAUGAAAUAAUAAAUGUAUCAUCUAGCUUAACUAAAGUCUCGAAUUCGAAUAUUGAAUAUGCAGCUGUGUUAAAACUCUUAAAAGAGUACCACCCGUAAAAAUCUAUUCAACAUGCUCUAAAUUAACUCUCUCUCUAUAUAUAUACCCAAAAAGAAAAAUCAUUCAGCACAUCUUGAAAGUGCCAUACCUAUUUUCUCCUUCUACAGUUACUCUUUCUAUACAUUGAAAAUCUCAUAGUCCCCCAUAAAAACACAUAACUACCACAAUCUUGGCAUUACGCCUUGGGUAUUUGGAUACAUCCUGAUUGUGAUUAUCACCUACUUGUAAUUUUUCAAGUACUACUUAGUACUUAUGUCUUCACUCGCUUAGUCUCUAAUCUAUCCUAUUACUAUUCGAUUAAGGGAUAUUAAUCCUCUUCCUUGCUCUUAAUCCACUAAUCAAAUCCAACAAAUCUAGAUAACAAGUAAGAGAUAUUCCGCUUCAAUGAUUAUUUAACUGGAAAAUACUGGUUAAUUGAACCAACGCUAGUCACUUCAUUAGAGCAAAAUAUUUACCUUUACUCAGUAUCCCUGCGUCUAUAUUUGACUACUGUGAUUAGUACAUAAAAAAGUUAAACUACUUCAAAAAUAUUUUCUUCAUUUUGAAAAUAAGUGUCAUUUUAAAUCAUUUGUUUUAUUUUAAAGUAAAUACAUUUUAACAAGUCAAUAAAAUAUUGUUAUUAUUAUUUUUUUUUUCUAAUUUUACUCUUAUUUACUGUGUAGGAGAAUAUUAACAGACUAGGAAAGAGAAAAAAAAAUAAUAAAAGAGAUUAUAAUUUUAAAUAUUUUAAAUGUCAAACCACUAAACUAAAAUUUUAAUUUCAAUGAAGUAUUUUUCCUAUAUAAAAAUAAAACGGUCAAAGUGAAUGAGAAUUAUUCAUAUAUCUAAAUUUUCACUAAUUACUAUAUUAUUCAUGAUGUGCAUUAACUAUAACAUCAGUCAUUUCAAGAAAGAAAAGUUUGAUCUCGGUCAUAUCGCAACACUUCACUAUUCAUUUUUGUUUAAGUAAUGUUUUUAUUUUUGAAUUAGACUAUAUAUAUAUACAAGACUUUCUACAGGAAUUAUUAUUUUUCUGAUCAUUCAUCUCAUUGGAUCAAACCCUAAGUUGCUAUAAUAUACAAAAGUUGAUAUGUUAUACUAUUACUUUUUUAAUCUUAGAUUUUUAUUAGAAAUAUAAAUAGAGUUAUGGGUUUUAUUUGGCUUUUUCAGCAAUAUCAUUUAAUUUACAGUUACCUUUUCAAGAUCUGCUAAAAGAAUGAUUGGAGUAAAAUGGAAGCUUACUUCAGUUCAUGAAUGAAGUCUCUGUAAAAGUAAAUUGAGUUGGGUAAUUUUGCUAUUUUUUGGGAGUGAGUAUCAAGCAUAUACAUAGACGAAGGCGGAAAGAGACAGGAUAGCAACCCCUACGUGAGUUUCCAUCAAAAACGACAAGUCGAGUCAAACAGUCAGCGAAUCCGCCAGCCUGGCCAUUCUUUUGUGCUGCCACUAUCAUCUCCUUCGUCCACCGGCAGAAUCUAAACAUUCCAUAAGAAUUUUUUUAUAAUAAUAACAAUAAUAAUGCUACAAGUAUUACAGUUGAUUUUUUUUAUAAUUAAUAUAUUUAAAUAAAUAAAAAAUUAUAAAUAUCAGAAUUAUUAAUUUAUUAAAUUUAAUUAUUAAAAAAAGUUAUUAAGUUAUUUUUAAAAUUUUAUUAUUUUAUUAAAUAUUAAAUAUAAAAGAGUUGAUUGUAUAUAUAUUUAGAUAAAAGACUAAAUUUUGAACUUUUUUUAAAUUAUUUAAAAUCAAGAAAUGUAUAUGCUAUGUAUUUUUGAAAUAUUUUGAUAAAAAACUAGUUUGAUAUUAUAUUCUGGAAAAAGUAUUAAUGAAUUAAUAAUUUUAUUUAAUUAAUAAAUCUUUAAAGAACUGAUUUCAUUUAUUUUUAAAUAAUUGAAUCUAAUAAAUUAAUAUAAUAUUAUUUAAUCCAUAAAAUAUUUAAUUGUAAGAAAGUCGACUAUAUAAUAAAGUAUUAAAUUAUGAAUAUUUUGAGAAAAAUGAAAACGAACCGAGAUGCAUGUAUCUAAUUUGAUCGUGAAUGCACCAAAGUAUGGUGACUGGUCGCUUGUGAAUGGUUGAAUGCUGUCAAGCUACUGAGUAAUCGUGUUUAAUGGCUGUGAUCUAAUUCUUUUUCUGUGUGUUGGUUUUAUAUCGGAAAUGAAAUAUAAUAUAAAUUAAAACACGGAAAAGUAGAUGAACAUUCACAAUCUUUCGCUUUCUGGUCUAUUCAUCCUUGUAUAUGAGAAAGUGCUAUCAUCUGUAGGGUUCAAUUUUUUUGUGCAUUUGUUCUAUUCUUAAUUGGCCAUCUAGCUAUUGUCAACUAGAAAUAUGCUUACUCUAAAUAUCCAAAUCUAAUGAUUUCGGACACUCCCUAAUGUUAUAUUUGAUUAAAUUUUAUAAAAAAAUUUAUUUUAUUUAAAAAAACACGAGAAAAAAUAAAA